CACCUACAUUUAUGUGUCCACAAUGAAACUGGGGUGUAUGUUCCAUGCGGCCACUGAAGCUUGAUGGGGUCUCCUUAUGGAUGACACCACCACCAGCACUUCGAGAAACAAAUUGAGGCUGGGAUGGACCCGGAAAAUAAUCAAUCGCACCACCAAAGUCUUCCUUGUCAUGAGCCCCGACUCCCGUGCAGCUUUCCAAUUCUUUGGAUUUAGUGCUUAUAUUUCCUCUGUUACCUUCUCUAGGACAAGAUCUCUGUUGAAAGCUAUCUUUUGUUAUAUUUCCUGUCAAAUUGAAAGGUGCUUCAGCAUGCCAUGUUGUUACUGAAGAUGGAGGAAGUAAAACCUCUUGGAUCCCACCUCCGGUCUUGCCUAAGGAUGUCAAGC
rnacentral:misc_RNA from 1 species